UUCAGUUAGCUUUUUUUCUGGUCUUCCUAACUAUCGCUUAGUUUCUUUUUCUUCUAUUCUCUUAAAACUGUGAGAACUGCAAGAUUAUUUGGAGUUGUGUGUUUUUCUGUAAAGCUUGGAAAACGUAAAAUAAAGGUACUCCAUCACUUAAUUUAUGUUAAAUAUACUUGGUUAUUCUGAUUCUAACCAAAACUUUCUAUAAAUUUUCAUACAAUUGUUGUUUUAGUUUUUUAAAAUCAAAAUUUUUAUAGAGCAAAAUUUAUAUGAUGAUUCAAUGGAUUGCAAGUCAUAACUAGAUCAUGAUCUUUAUUUCACUUAUGGCAGAUAGAUGGCAUAUAAUAAGAAUUGAAGUCUUCAAGAAGGAAAACAAAUAGAAGCAAAAAGCAUGGAAAAUAAAGAAGAUGAAGAAACUAAGAUCAAAACCCAAUUGUGAUUUUUCUGUUGUAAACGAAGAUUUAUUGCUCAUUUGAUGUUUUUUAUAAAAACAUAAUAAGAUUUAAAUAGAUAUUGCAAUGAGUAAUUUUAG
rnacentral:lncRNA from 1 species